GAUGAAGAACGCAGCGAAAUGCGAUACGUAAUGUGAAUUGCAGAAUUCAGUGAAUCAUCGAGUCUUUGAACGCACAUUGCGCCCCCUGGUAUUCCGGGGGGCAUGCCUGUCCGAGCGUCAUUGCUGCCCUCAAGCACGGCUUGUGUGUUGGGCCUCCGUCCUCCUCCCGAGGGACGGGCCCGAAAGGCAGCGGCGGCACCGCGUCCGGUCCUCGAGCGUAUGGGGCUUCGUCACCCGCUCUUGUAGGCCCGGCCGGCGCUUGCCGACACAUCAAUCUUUUUUCCAGGUUGACCUCGGAUCAGGUAGGGAUACCCGCUGAACUUAAGCAUAUCAAUAAGCGAGGA
rnacentral:misc_RNA from 1 species